AUACUUACCUGGCAAGGGAGAUACCGUGAUCAAGAAGGCGGUUCACCCAGGGCGAGGCUCAGCCAUUGCACUCCGGCUGUGCUGACCCCUGCGAAUUUCCCAAAUGUGUGAAAUCUCAGAUUGCAUAAUUUAUGGUAGUGGGGGA
rnacentral:snRNA from 8 species